UAUUGUGAUGAGACGGCACUGGGCUCCGAAGAUUCUUGAUGGAUAUGCCUAUCUAUGGGAGGCCUCAGAAACCUCUCCGACUGAUG
rnacentral:snoRNA from 1 species